rnacentral:rRNA from 1 species
CCUACGGGAGGCAGCAGUGGGGAAUAUUGCACAAUGGGGGGAACCCUGAUGCAGCGACGCCGCGUGAGUGAAGAAGUAUUUCGGUAUGUAAAGCUCUGUCAGCAGGGAAGAAAAUGACGGUACCUGAGUAAGAAUCCCCGGCUAACUACGUGCCAGCAGCCGCGGUAAUACGUAGGGGGCAAGCGUUAUCCGGAUUUACUGGGUGUAAAGGGAGCGUAGACGGCAGUGCAAGUCUGGAGUGAAAGGCGGGGGCUCAACCCCCGGACUGCUCUGGAAACUGUACGGCUGGAGUGCAGGAGAGGUAAGUGGAAUUCCUAGUGUAGCGGUGAAAUGCGUAGAUAUUAGGAGGAACACCAGUGGCGAAGGCGGCUUACUGGACUGUAACUGACGUUGAGGCUCGAAAGCGUGGGGAGCAAACAGGAUUAGAUACCCUUGUAGUC